CUGCGGAAGGAUCAUUGUCG
rnacentral:rRNA from 7 species